rnacentral:tRNA from 1 species
GGGCGAGGUUAAUGGUAACAACAAGGGGUUGGUACCCUUGCAUACCGGUUCGAUUCCGGUCUCGUCCACCA